CGAGGUUCUUCAUGUCCUGUCUCUGCUUUUAGACAGAACAAUGUAGAGUGAGGAGUGUGUGAUAUUAGAUCAUCUGGGCUGCCAUGUCCCCCCAGACUCUACCAGAACUGGUAAAGCCUCAAUCCCUCAUCCUGUGGGCAGCCCACAGCCCCACCCGAAAGCGCUGCAGACUACAGAGUGACAUUCCCACGGUCCUGCCUUGCUCAAGCUUCCUUUCCUGUUGCUCUCUGCAUCAUGAGAUCAUCUCCUGCUCAUCUCCUGCUGCUGCUUUCUUCUCGAUGCCCUGACACAUCCUAGAACUGUUCACACCUUGGCUCGGCUUCACCAAACUCCACUCACACUAGCCAAUGUAUGUGGAAAAGACUGCGCGUGGAGAGCUUUUGAGGGCCACUUCUAGAAACUUGGAGGGAAUUUGACACUGGGCCAGGACAAAGAACAGUUCUGGGCUUGGGGUCACUUCGCCUCUGCAAUCAAGCUCUCCCAAUAAACGUGUGUGGAAGGAUCCUGUUGCAGUGUCGUUCUUGCUGGCGAGCCAGGGCGCGCGCAAGAUAAAAGCAGACUGGAAAACAUGAAAAUAAACCUGAUUCAGCCUCAGAACUAGCUGGGGUCAUGCUACAGUGUUGUCUAAUUGUCUUCUUUUCUUUUUAAUCCUUGAUCCUGCUCUGGAGAACCUGUUGAUUGACUGAGCUGGCUUGGUCAACUGUGGAUCAAGAGGACUAAGAGGCAUCCAUCUGGCUUGUGGCGUUUUGUUACAUCAGCUCUACUGAGCAGGUAAUAUAAGAGAAGUUACACUUCCUCUUCCACUGCUGCCCCAAUAAAUACAUCCUUUGAUGACUUCUCCCUCUGUCAACCCUGGUCUCCAAGUUGGAAACAUCUUCAGCAUCUCACACUUUCUGUGUACGUUGUCAAUGUGCAAUGUGCAUUCACUCACAUCUCCUCCAAGACAUUUUCUCCAUCUCUGGAUCAUACCCUGACCUGUGGGACAUACAUUCAUCUUUACAAACCAGCAUUCCCACCUAGACAUGCUUCUAAGACAUCUGCAGUUAACUCUUGAGAAACAGUGUCUGCAUCCAUCUCCAGCAGGAGUUGCAUGGCUCUGGAAUAG
rnacentral:lncRNA from 1 species